AAAACCCUGCCCUCGGUUACAGAUGGUGAUUCAAACAUGGCAACCAUUUUUCCAUAGAUGGAGGAUUUAUCUCUGGGGGGAAUGGGGAGUUCUAUAGGAUGCCCAGUUAAAAUGGUGUCAGUGUGAAGGUUUUUCUCCCUUUCCUGGGUCACUAGAGCUUCAGAGCGGGUAAUGAAUGCAUGCUGUCUCUGCAAUGUACAGCCUGGCACGUGGCAAGGCAGGCUAUUUGCACAGUAAGUGGAUACAGCUGACAACAAGCAAAGCAGAGUCCUUGCAGUGAGUGGUAGUGGAGAGGACAAAGCUUGCAAAAUGAUCUAUGGGAUGAGAUUAAGCGGGGUCGGAAUGAAACAAAGGUUCCAUCUCCCAAGAUGUCUGUGCUCAUGCUGAGCUCACAAUGGCCUGUGACAAUGCCCAGCAGGUAUGGAAAAGCGAUGCGGAUCAGUCCUGUGGCACAUGAGGAAGCAGCUACUGCUUGCACAGUUUCACCUACCAAAGACUCCAAACCCCACCCCCACCAGCAAGAAAGCCAGAGGAAGAUUGGACCUCUCUCGGAGGGCUACCAACACCCAGCAGCCGGCACUAGAGGCUCACUUGGCCCAAUGAGCCCAUCGCCUGAUCCCUACAAGCCACCCAGAAACUGCAUGGAUCCCCACUAGUCCACAGGCAGCCUGGGAGAGGCGUGAAGCCAAAGUGGGUGCUGCCACAGUCCACACAGGUGAAUGUCCCCAAUUCUUGCCCACUGGGAGGUGCUGCUCCUUGUGUCCCAGAACUGUUGUCCACCCUUCUGACUUAGCAUGGAAUGGCCAAAUGGGCAGGGAGACAAAGCCCUCAAGCUUUGGGACCCAAACCUAGACAAGGAGUGCUCCAAGGCUGGAGGAAGACCUGGCUAUGGUGUAGCUGCCUACUCUGCUUUUGAGGAGCUGGGGCAUGCCAGUGCUUCCUUUCUAACCUGAGAACAGCCUGGGGGGAAACACAUUCUCUGCCCUGGAAGUUCCUUCCUCCCAUGCCUAACAUGCCGACUCUCAAUGUGGUGACUCAGUGAGGCAAAGACACUAUGCACAUGCUUAGAGGGCUAGAGGCACACUCUUGGUUAAUGUUUCACAUGCUCUGAGGGAGGUGUUUUUAAUCCAGAGAAUCUGGACCAUGUCUGGAGACCAGCAAGCCUAUUGGGAAUGAGCUGUGGUACACAGUGGGAGCCAACAUCUCAUGCAACCACAAUGUGCUGAAGUAGUCAUGCACAAUAGCCCCUUACUGAUGUGGUGAUUUUAUUUUAUUUUUAACCUCAAGGAGACGAAUGCACCUUCAAGUGGCAACAGGGGUCAGCAUUCACUUUUCUUGGUCAAACCAUUAAAUAUUAUACUCAUGAUGGGAGGUUCAUUCAAGCAUUGCACAACUCAUGGGGUAAAAAUCACCCAGUGGUCACCUUUUCACAUCAAAAUGUAAUAUGAGAAUCAGAUAUGAGCAUGCCCUGCUAAAGGACUUUGCAAUACCUAGUUUCAAAGUAUACAUCUCCCUACAACUCCAAAACACUUCGUUAUAAAUUUAAUUUCUACCCAUUUUAGUGCUAAAGCAUACCAAAACAGAUGUGUUUCUAAAAUGCUUCUCUCACACACAGCAAUGGUAACCUGAGA